GAUGAACGCUGGCGGCGUGCCUAAUACAUGCCAGUCGAGCGAACAGACGAGGAGCUUGCUCCUCUGACGUUAGCGGCGGACGGGUGAGUAACACGUGGAUAACCUACCUAUAAGACUGGGAUAACUUCGGGAAACCGGAGCUAAUACCGGAUAAUAUAUUGAACCGCAUGGUUCAAUAGUGAAAGACGGUUUUGCUGUCACUUAUAGAUGGAUCCGCGCCGCAUUAGCUAGUUGGUAAGGUAACGGCCUACCAAGGCAACGAUGCGUAGCCGACCUGAGAGGGUGAUCGGCCACACUGGAACUGAGACACGGUCCAGACUCCUACGGGAGGCAGCAGUAGGGAAUCUUCCGCAAUGGGCGAAAGCCUGACGGAGCAACGCCGCGUGAGUGAUGAAGGUCUUCGGAUCGUAAAACUCUGUUAUUAGGGAAGAACAAAUGUGUAAGUAACUAUGCACGUCUUGACGGUACCUAAUCAGAAAGCCACGGCUAACUACGUG
rnacentral:rRNA from 1 species